GCCCAGGUGGUGAAAUUGGUAGACACGCUAGACUUAGGAUCUAGUGCUUCGGCGUGGAGGUUCAAGUCCUCUCCUGGGCACCA
rnacentral:tRNA from 1 species